AACGAACGCUGGCGGCAUGCCUAACACAUGCAAGUCGAACGACACCUUCGGGUCUGGUGGCUCACGGGUGCGUCAAGCGUGGGAACGUGCCCUUAGGUUCGGGAAAACUCCCCGACGGGGGUGCUAAUGCCGGGUAAUGUCUUCGGACCAAAGAUUUAUCGCAUUUGUGUGGGCCCGCGAUGGAUUGGCUUGGUGGUAUGGUAAAAGCCUACCAAGGCGACGAUACAUAGCGGGUCUGAGAGGAAGAGAAGCCACACUUGGACUGUGACACGGCCGAGACUCCUACAGGAAGCAGCAGUGGGGAAUAUUGGACAACGGCGUAAAGCCUGAUCGAGCAAGGCUGCGUGAGUGAUGAAGGUGUUAGAGUUGUAAAGCUCGUUUACCCGGGAUUAUAAUGACAGUACCGGGAGAAUAAGCUCCGGCUAACUCCGUG
rnacentral:rRNA from 1 species